UCAAACCAUGUUUAUUAAAUAUAUUUUAUAUAUAAAAAACUGACAGUUCUGGUGACCAACCUUCUGUUCCUGAUGACACACGACUAACAUCUGAAUGUUCAGGAAUUUCAAAAGAAAAAGUUAACAGGGAACUCUACUAAACAUAUACGAUGGCUGUGGAAGCUGUGUGGGACGAGCGCAGGCGGAUGCGAGGUUGUGCAUGCUGGUCACCGGGACUGAAGGACUGGGAGACUCCUCCUCUGCCCCUGCCGAGAGCCCAGCCG